AGAUUGAACGCUGGCGGCGUGCCUAACACAUGCAAGUCGAGCGGUAACAGGUGUAGCAAUACAUGCUGACGAGCGGCGGACGGGUGAGUAACGCUUGGGAAUCUGCCUAUCAGUGGGGGACAACCCGGGGAAACUCGGGCUAAUACCGCAUACGAUCCAUGGAUGAAAGCCGGGGACCGCAAGGCCUGGCGCUGAUAGAUGAGCCCAAGUCGGAUUAGCUAGUUGGUAGGGUAACGGCCUACCAAGGCGACGAUCCGUAACUGGUCUGAGAGGACGACCAGUCACACCGGAACUGAGACACGGUCCGGACUCCUACGGGAGGCAGCAGUGGGGAAUAGUUGGACAAGUGGGGCAACCCUGAUCCAGCGACGCCGCGUGGUGAAGAGGCCUGGCGGGUUGAAGCCGUUUCGGAGGGAAGAAAGUCGUCGGCUUAAGACGCGUGGACCUUGGAACCGUAACCCAAGUAAA
rnacentral:rRNA from 1 species